rnacentral:rRNA from 1 species
GCUGUUGUUGGUGAUGGAACUUGCUUCCUGAGCUGACGACAGCCGCAGAAACCAGGCCGCUGCAACUGUUUAUUAAAAACAUAGCACUCUGCAAACACGAAAGUGGACGUAUAGGGUGUGAUGCCUGCCCGGUGCUGGAAGGUUAAUUGAUGGGGUUAGCGUAAGCGAAGCUCUUGAUCGAAGCCCCAGUAAACGGCGGCCGUAACUAUAACGGUCCUAAGGUAGCGAAAUUCCUUGUCGGGUAAGUUCCGACCUGCACGAAUGGCAUAAUGAUGGCGGCGCUGUCUCCAGCAGAGGCUCAGUGAAAUCGAAAUCGCUGUGAAGAUGCAGUGUACCCGCGGCUAGACGGAAAGACCCCGUGAACCUUUACUGCAGCUUGACACUGAACUUUGACCUUACUUGUGUAGGAUAGGUGGGAGGCUUUGAAGUUGGAACGCUAGUUCCAAUGGAGCCGUCCUUGAAAUACCACCCUGGUAAUGUUGAGGUUCUAACUCUGUCCCGUUAUCCGGGACGAGGACCGUGUCUGGUGGGUAGUUUGACUGGGGCGGUCUCCUCCUAAAGAGUAACGGAGGAGUACGAAGGUGCGCUCAGCGUGGUCGGAAAUCACGCGUAGAGUAUAAAGGCAAAAGCGCGCUUAACUGCGAGACCCACAAGUCGAGCAGGUACGAAAGUAGGUCUUAGUGAUCCGGUGGUUCUGUAUGGAAGGGCCAUCGCUCAACGGAUAAAAGGUACUCUGGGGAUAACAGGCUGAUACCGCCCAAGAGUUCAUAUCGACGGCGGUGUUUGGCACCUCGAUGUCGGCUCAUCUCAUCCUGGGGCUGAAGCAGGUCCCAAGGGUAUGGCUGUUCGCCAUUUAAAGAGGUACGCGAGCUGGGUUUAGAACGUCGUGAGACAGUUCGGUCCCUAUCUACCGUGGGCGCUGGAAAUUUGAGAGGAUCUGCUCCUAGUACGAGAGGACCAGAGUGGACGAACCUCUGGUGUACCGGUUGUGACGCCAGUCGCAUCGCCGGGUAGCUAUGUUCGGAAGGGAUAACCGCUGAAAGCAUCUAAGCGGGAAGCCUACCUCAAGAUAAGAUUUCCCUAGGAAUUUAUUCCUCUAAAGAGCCGUUCGAGACUAGGACGUUGAUAGGUUGGAUGUGGAAGCAUAGUGAUAUGUGAAGCUGACCAAUACUAAUUGCUCGUGAGGCUUGACUAUACAACACCCAAGCAGUUG